GCCUACACAUGCAAGUCGAACGGUAACAGGGAUUGCUUGCAAUCCGCUGACGAGUGGCGCACGGGUGCGUAACGCGUAUGCAACCUACCUUUUACAGAGGGAUAGCCCAGAGAAAUUUGGAUUAAUACCUCAUAAUAAAAUUGAAUCGCAUGGUUUAAUUUUUAAAGUUUCGGCGGUAAAAGAUGGGCAUGCGUCCUAUUAGUUAGUUGGUGAGGUAACGGCUCACCAAGGCAGCGAUAGGUAGGGGUUCUGAGAGGAUGAUCCCCCACACUGGUACUGAGACACGGACCAGACUCCUACGGGAGGCAGCAGUGAGGAAUAUUGGUCAAUGGACGCAAGUCUGAACCAGCCAUGCCGCGUGCAGGAAGACGGCUCUAUGGGUUGUAAACUGCUUUUGUAUAGGAAUAAACCCACGCUCGUGAGCGUGGCUGAAUGUACUAUUUGAAUAAGGACCGGCUAACUCCGUGCCAGCAGCCGCGGUAAUACGGAGGGUCCAAGCGUUAUCCGGAUUUAUUGGGUUUAAAGGGUCCGUAGGUGGGAUAUUAAGUCAGUGGUGAAAUCUCUCAGCUUAACUGAGAAACUGCCAUUGAUACUGAUGUCCUUGAAUAUACGUGAAGUGGGCGGAAUGUGACAUGUAGCGGUGAAAUGCAUAGAUAUGUCACAGAACACCGAUUGCGAAGGCAGCUCACUAAAGUACUAUUGACACUGAUGGACGAAAGCGUGGGUAGCGAACAGGAUUAGAUACCCUGGUAGUCCACGCAGUAAACGAUGAUUACUAGAUAUUUGCGAUAUACAGUAAGUGUCUUAGCGAAAGCGAUAAGUAAUCCACCUGGGGAGUACGGUUGCAAGAUUGAAACUCAAAGGAAUUGACGGGGGCCCGCACUAGCGGUGGAGCAUGUGGUUUAAUUCGAUGAUACGCGAGGAACCUUUACA
rnacentral:rRNA from 1 species